rnacentral:ncRNA from 2 species
UUCAUUUAUAAAUUGCUUGGUUUUUAGUCACUGUCCCGACGUAAUGUCGGGACGGGAAGGCUUACUACAAAACGGGAACGCUGUGAAAUUCAGCGACAGUGCCGCUGCGGUAAUUUCAGAGUUCAAUCUGAAUGAGUCCGAAGACCGACCAAGCAACUAAGUGAUCA